rnacentral:rRNA from 1 species
GACGAACGCUGGCGGCGUGCUUAACACAUGCAAGUCGAACGGAAAGGCCCUGCUUUUGUGGGGUGCUCGAGUGGCGAACGGGUGAGUAACACGUGAGAAACCUGCCCUUGACUUUGGGAUAACUUCAGGAAACUGGGGCUAAUACCGGAUAGGAGCUCCUGCUGCAUGGGGGGGGUUGGAAAGUUUCGGCGGUUGGGGAUGGACUCGCGGCUUAUCAGCUUGUUGGUGGGGUAGUGGCUUACCAAGGCUUUGACGGGUAGCCGGCCUGCGAGGGUGACCGGCCACAUUGGGACUGCGAUACGGCCCAGACUCCUACGGGAGGCAGCAGUGGGGAAUAGUGCACAAUGGGCGGAAGCCUGAUGCAGCAACGCCGCGUGCGGGAUGACGGCCUUCGGGUUGUAAACCGCUUUCGCCUGUGACGAAGCGUGAGUGACGGUAAUGGGUAAAGAAGCACCGGCUAACUACGUG